GAACGAAGCAUGCCGGAGGAAGUUUUCGGAUGGAAUCCGGGAUGACUGAGUGGCGGACGGGUGAGUAACGCGUGGGUAACCUGCCCUGUACAGGGGGACAACAGUUAGAAAUGACUGCUAAUACCGCAUAAGCGCACAGGACCGCAUGGUCCGGUGUGAAAAACUCCGGUGGUACAGGAUGGACCCGCGUCUGAUUAGGUAGUUGGCGGGGUAACGGCCCACCAAGCCGACGAUCAGUAGCCGACCUGAGAGGGUGACCGGCCACAUUGGGACUGAGACACGGCCCAAACUCCUACGGGAGGCAGCAGUGGGGAAUAUUGCACAAUGGGGGGAACCCUGAUGCAGCGACGCCGCGUGAGUGAAGAAGUAUUUCGGUAUGUAAAGCUCUAUCAGCAGGGAAGAAAAUGACGGUACCUGACUAAGAAGCCCCGGCUAACUACGUGCCAGCAGCCGCGGUAAUACGUAGGGGGCAAGCGUUAUCCGGAUUUACUGGGUGUAAAGGGAGCGUAGACGGCAGAGCAAGUCUGAAGUGAAAGCCCGCGGCCCAACUGCGGGACUGCUUUGGAAACUGCCCGGCUAGAGUGCUGG
rnacentral:rRNA from 1 species